AGUAUAAUUGCUGGAUCAAAUGGUAAGCUUAUGUUUAGUUUUGUAAGAAACUGCCAGACUGUCUUCCAAAGUGGCUGUGCCAUUUUGUAUUCCCACCAGUAAU
rnacentral:pre_miRNA from 1 species